GGAGGAGUCGGUGAAUUUUUAGUUUGGCUUCUCGUUUGUUUUGUGCUUGAUGCACACUCAGAGCCUGGCAAUUGCAAGGUUGAUGACAGAAGAAACCAAUUCUCACUGAAAAUGAAAGAUACGAAUCUUCCCAACAUCUAUUAGGAUCUUAGGUAAAGAUUUCCUCA
rnacentral:lncRNA from 1 species